AUAGUACUCCCUCCGUCCAGAAAUACUUGUCAUCAAAAUGAAUAAAAGAUGAUGUAUCUAGAUGUAUAUUAGUUCUAGAUACAUCCCUUUUUAUCCAUUUUGAUGACAAGUAUUUUCGGACGGAGGGAGUACUUA
rnacentral:pre_miRNA from 1 species